UAAUGGGAAAACGAAUGUCAAGAGAUCAAGUGAUGUCUCAGGAUGCAAUGGAUUAGGAUGGGGCCUCUUCAAUGUCUAAGAGGCUCUAUGCAUUAGCCAAAACAUUAGCUACUCUCCGAGGCACCAGCAUUCAGUUUGCAUUACUCUUACAAUCACUACAAAACUCUUAACAUUCUAUAGCUCUACCAAAUAGAGAGCUGCUAGAUAUUAAAUACAAUCAUGAGUAUACAGAAUUGAUUUAUAGUCAUUGGUAGAAUUGCUGGAAAAAUGCAAGAGAAAACGGCAAGUUUUACACUUCAGCAACUAUUUGGGUUCUUGGAAAGAAAAUGUUAAUUAUAUUACAAAAUAAAGCUGCUUGAAUGGUGUACUUGAAGCGUUUUUCACAAACGAUAUCUACAUCAGAGUUCAGUAUUCAACUUGGAUAUUGAAAGAAGCUCUCGUGAUCUAUUCUGUGGACUUUGUGUGAGAUCUGUUGGUUCCAAAGGCUGAAUGUGCCCACCAAAUACAAGUGACCUUUCCAAUGAAGGUUGAGCAUCUCCCUCAUUUGUACCACCGAAAGGUCAACAUCUGCUUUACAGCAUCCUUCCCCUUCUCUACGGAAUUGAAGAAAUCUUACGGACAAUAUGACUGUUAACCUUUUAUUGCAAUUUCUGUUUAUAGAGUUC